UAUCGACGUUACGAGAUCAAUAUGGCUUCUUCCGUAGCUGCUGCAGCUACUGUUCGUGCUGUCAAAGGUAGAAAAAUACUUGCUACACGAGCUGCGCUUACAUUAACAUCAAGUGCAGUAAAAAAAAUUAAGGAAUUAUUAAAAGACAAAGACGAAUUUAUCGGUUUAAGGGUCAGUGUGAAACAACGAGGAUGUAAUGGUCUAAGUUACACUCUUGAUUAUGCCAAAGAAAAAUGUAAACUUGAUGAGGAGGUUGUUCAAGAUGGAGUUCGCAUUAUGAUCGACAAAAAGGCACAGUUGUCUCUGCUAGGUACUGAAAUGGAUUAUGUGGAAACUAAAUUAAGUUCCGAAUUUGUUUUUAAUAAUCCAAAUAUCAAAGGGACUUGUGGAUGCGGAGAAAGUUUCUCUGUUUAGUCAACUUAAAAAAUUGUAGUUAAUGCAGAUUACUUAAUUAUCACAAAUUUUAAUAAAAUGUGACAUCACAAAAAAAAUAAGCUUAGUACUGUAUAUAGGAUGCUUCAUAUGAUAUGUAUACAUUUAUAGGAAUUAAUAUGAAAUAAUAUCCUGUCUGUUACAAUAAGUCUCCUAUAAAAAUUUAUAUAUCAUUCUGCAUCGUACGUGUGUAUUUUUGUAUUUCGACGAUUAUUAGGAUUAUAUGCUAUACGUAUCUAUUAACAAUAAAUAUAUGUGUAUAUAAUUAUAUGCGUAUAUAAUUAUACAUGUAUAUAUAUGUGCGUGCAUAUAUGUAUAUAUAUGUACAGCGAGAUUUCUAAAAGAAUAAAACAAUGCUCAAAGAGUAUGACAGUGAAAUCAUAAAGCAUAAUAAAGGCACUGUUCGUUCAAACUUUA